AGAACCUGUGGAUCAAGUAGAACAAAUGGGUGCAGUCCCAGAACCUGAAGUAAAAGUAGCUACUGCUGUUCCUGACCUUGUGGUAAAUUUUAUUUUAACUUUGUCCACCUUUUUUCUUGCAGUUCUGUUCUGUCUCUGCUUCCUUAUCUGUUAGUCUUUUCAGGUAGAAGUGCCUAUGACUGCUGGGGUUUUGUCAGUGGUGACCAAUCCCUUGAAGCCUCC
rnacentral:lncRNA from 1 species